AUAGAACCAGGUCUUGCAAUUUUAUAAGGAAAAGAUGUGCAAUCUAAAACCGUACUUUCUAAUCCUUCUUCACUUUGUUCAGCUUGAACAAUACCAUCGAUACGGCCAUUCAAAUCUUGAUAUACAUGAUUGAAAGUUGUUGGUGAAGGUCUACCACUUAAAUUAGCACUUGGAGCAGCUAGAGGUUCAUUUAU
rnacentral:sRNA from 1 species